AGAAUACAUCGAAAUAAGCUUUUACAACAACUUAUUUUCUCUUUUACUUGGUCUCUCUUCCCCCCCCCUUUUUUUUUGGUCAUGGUUAUAUCUUCUUUAAUACCGUACCAUUUCUUUUCUGAUAGCUUUAAUGUGCUGCUAGUUUUCCUUAGUUUGCAUUAACUGCAAUAAUUGCUGGAGUAAAUCUCCCUACUGUUUUCAGAAAACUUACUUGGAUGGGCUUUGUAAUCAAUCCUUCCAUAGCAGAUGGAUGCUGCUCUUCUUGGGAAAGCAGUGUGUUGCUUUGGUACUUGGGUGCCUUCAUUCCAGGAGCAGCAGAUGGUUGCAAACAGGAGAUGUGGAAACAUCCCAGCUGUCCCGAGAUGGAGAUGAUCCCUGUAGCUGUGUGACAGCAGUGGAGGGACUGAGUUCAGGAACACUUGAUGGAGUUGUCAAAAUGGCAAGGCACUCUAACACCUCGGCAGCACCAGUGGUUUUAUAGCCCGCUCAGGGUCUGACUUCAACCAAUACUCACUCUCAGGUAAA